CCUACGGGAGGCAGCAGUGAGGAAUAUUGGUCAAUGGGCUUACGCCUGAACCAGCCAAGUCGCGUGAGGGAAGACGGCCCUAUGGGUUGUAAACCUCUUUUGCCAGGGAGCAACGACGGCUACGUGUAGCCGGACUGAGAGUACCCGAAGAAAAAGCAUCGGCUAACCCCGUGCCAGCAGCCGCGGUAAUACGAGGGUUGCGAGCUUUAUCCGGAUUUAUUGGGUUUAAAGGUGGGGUAGCCGGAAGGCCAAGUCAGGGGUAAAAUUGCGGGGCUCAACCUCUCUCCGCCGUUGAAACUGGCGUUCUUGAGUGGGCGAGAAGUAUGCGGAAUGCGUGGUGUAGCGGUGAAAUGCAUAGAUAUAACGCAGAACUCCGAUUGCGAAGGCAGCAUACCGGCGCCCAACUGACGCUGAGGCACGAAAGCGUGGGUAUCGAACAGGAUUAGAUACCCGUGUAGUC
rnacentral:rRNA from 1 species